UGGCCGUGGCUUAUAGGAUAGGUGUCGAGGCAGGGCUGGUGUUUCUGGUGGAAGUAGAGAGAGGUGGAGGUCGAGGCUGGUGAAAUCGCUUGAAUUUUUUUUAAAAGGCCACUAUGGAGCGGUUUGGUCAUGUGCCCUCCUUACUCUUUAUUUUGUAAACUGAGAUAAAUAUCCGAAAGUCCAUUUGCAGAAUUAUAUUACUUAUCUGAUGCUGGUUUGUAAUGUAAUUCUGCAAAUGGACUAUCGGAUAUUUAUCUCGGUUUGCAAAAUAAUUUUGCAAAUGGACUGUCGGAUAUUUAUCUCAGUUUGUAAACUAAUUUUGCAAAUGGACUGUCGGAUAUUUAUCUCAGUUUGUAAACUAAUUUUGCAAAUGGACUGUCGGUUGUUUAUCUCGGUUUGUAAACUAAUUUGCAAAUCGACUGUCGGUUAUUUAUCUCAUUUUGUAAACUAAUUUUGCAAAUGGACUGUCGGUUAUUUAUCUCGGUUUGUAAACUAAUUUUGCAAAUGGACUGUCGGUUAUU